UACGAAGGGGGCUAGCGUUGCUCGGAAUUACUGGGCGUAAAGGGCGCGUAGGCGGAAUGCUUUGUCAGGCGUGAAAUUCCUGGGCUCAACCUGGGGGCUGCGUUUGAUACGUGUUUGCUAGAGUGGGGAAGAGGGUCGUGGAAUUCCCAGUGUAGAGGUGAAAUUCGUAGAUAUUGGGAAGAACACCGGUGGCGAAGGCGGCGACCUGGUCCUUGACUGACGCUGAGGCGCGAAAGCGUGGGGAGCAAACAGG
rnacentral:rRNA from 1 species